rnacentral:rRNA from 1 species
GACGAACGCUGGCGGCGUGCUUAACACAUGCAAGUCGAACGGUGAAGCGCCUUCCUUUUUGGUGGGUGUGGAUGAGUGGCGAACGGGUGAGUAACACGUGAGUAACCUGCCCCCUUCUUCUGGAUAACCGCAUGAAAGUGUGGCUAAUACGGGAUAUUCUGGGUCUGUCGCAUGAUGGGUCUGGGAAAGAUCUUGUUUCGGUGGGGGAUGGGCUCGCGGCCUAUCAGCUUGUUGGUGGGGUGAUGGCCUACCAAGGCGGUGACGGGUAGCCGGCCUGAGAGGGUGGACGGUCACACUGGGACGGAGACACGGCCCAGACUCCUACGGGAGGCAGCAGUGGGGAAUAUUGCACAAUGGGCGCAAGCCUGAUGCAGCGACGCCGCGGGAGGGAUGGAGGCCUUCGGGUUGUGAACCUCUUUCGCCAGUGAAGCAGGCCUGCCUCGUUUGUGGGUGGGUUGACGGUAGCUGGAGAAGAAGCGCCGGCUAACUACGUG